rnacentral:rRNA from 1 species
AACGAACGCUGGCGGCAGGCCUAACACAUGCAAGUCGAGCGCCCUUUCGGGGGAGCGGCGGUCGGGUGGGUAACGCGUGGGAAUCUGCCCUUCUCUACGGCGUAGCCUCGGUAAACUUAGAGUAAUACCGUGUACGCCCUGCGCGGGUAAGAUUUAUCGGGGAAGGAUUAGCCCGCGUUGGAUUAGGUCGUUGGUGGGUUAAUUGCCUACCAAUCCGACGAUCCAUAGCUGGGUUGAGAGGAUGAUCAGCCACACUGGGACUGAGACACGGACCAGACUCCUACGGGAAGCAGCAGUGGGGAAUCGUAGAAAAUGGGGGCAACGCUGAUGGAGCCAUGCCGCGUGAGUGAUGAAGGCCUUAGGGUUGUAAAGCUCGUUCAGCUGGGAAGAUAAUGACGGUACCAGAAGAAGAAGCCCCGGCUAACUCCGUG